rnacentral:rRNA from 1 species
UACGGAGGGGGCUAGCGUUGUUCGGAAUUACUGGGCGUAAAGCGCACGUAGGCGGCUUUGUAAGUUAGAGGUGAAAGCCCGGGGCUCAACUCCGGAAUUGCCUUUAAGACUGCAUCGCUCGAAUUGUGGAGAGGUAAGUGGAAUUCCGAGCGUAGAGGUGAAAUUCGUAGAUAUUGGGAAGAACACCGGUGGCGAAGGCGGCUCUCUGGCCCGCAACUGACGCUGAGGCGCGAAAGCGUGGGGAGCAAACAGG